rnacentral:rRNA from 1 species
AUGGGCGAAGCAGAACAGGUAAGCGAGACAGCAAGAGCAACCCAAAUUAAGACGGGGAGAUGCACUUACAGGAAGGUAUCAUCAGCGCCAGCGCGCCAAACAUCCAGCAAAGAAAGAACUAAUGAACUGCAUGAACCGACAAAACAAAACAAGAUUAAGGCGAACAAUAAACAAGGGAGAGUAAAGAAGAACAGAACUGAGAGGGAACGGAGCCACACCAGCCGGACUCUGCAGCAUGUGCUUGAAGGUGAGAUGCACCGGCACAUGACGACCUCGCCGGAGCUCUUCUCAUGCCGCCGCUUGACAUGGAUAGUCUGGCCAUCGAAGUACGAAUCCACCAUCCUGGCCGUGAACCUGAAACUGACUAAACCAAUAUAUCAAAAAUCAGAUUUAAUUCAAUGCAUAGCAGCGAAAUCAACUUGUAAAUUGAGAAUCAAAUCGUGUUGCUAUUGA